GCAGAGAUGCUUUGGUGCCUUCGGGAACUCUGAGACAGGUGCUGCAUGGCUGUCGUCAGCUCGUGUUGUGAAAUGUUGGGUUAAGUCCCGCAACGAGCGCAACCCUUAUCCUUUGUUGCCAGCGGUCAGGCCGGGAACUCAAAGGAGACUGCCAGUGAUAAACUGGAGGAAGGUGGGGAUGACGUCAAGUCAUCAUGGCCCUUACGAGUAGGGCUACACACGUGCUACAAUGGCGCAUACAAAGAGAAGCGACC
rnacentral:rRNA from 1 species